GGUAGCGUGGCCGAGCGGUCCAAGGCGCUGGUUUAAGGCACUAGUCUCUUCGGGGCCAAGGGUUUGAAUCCCAUCGCUGCCA
rnacentral:tRNA from 1 species